GAUGAACGCUGGCGGCGUGCCUAAUACAUGCAAGUCGAGCGAACAGACGGGGAGCUUGCUCCUCUGACGUUAGCGGCGGACGGGUGAGUAACACGUGGAUAACCUACCUAUAAGACUGGGAUAACUUCGGGAAACCGGAGCUAGUACCGGAUAAUAUAUUGAACCGCAUGGUUCAAUAGUGAAAGACGGUUUUGCUGUCACUUAUAGAUGGAUCCGCGCCGCAUUAGCUAGUUGGUAAGGUAACGGCUUACCAAGGCGACGAUGCGUAGCCGACCGGAGAGGGUGAUCGGCCAAACUGGAACUGAGCCACGGUCCAGACUCCUCCGGGAGGCAGCAGUAGGGAAUCUUCCGCAAUGGGCGAAAGCCUGACGGAGCAACGCCGCGUGGGUGAUGAAGGUCUUCGGAUCGUAAAACUCUGUUAUUAGGGAAGAACAAAUGUGUAAGUAACUAUGCACGUCUUGACGGUACCUAAUCAGAAAGCCACGGCUAACUACGUG
rnacentral:rRNA from 1 species